rnacentral:ncRNA from 1 species
GCAAACCGAAGCGCCGAUGAUAAUGUCGCCCCGUUCGGAAAGACGAGGGAAGUCGGUGAAAGGCCGACGCUGCCCCCGCAACUGUAAGCGAUGAGCAGGCUUUCGUGAUGCCACUGGCCACGCGGCUGGGAAGGCGGAAGCCGUGCGAUGAUCCGCGAGCCAGGAGACCUGUCGCCGGACGGACCAGAAA